rnacentral:rRNA from 1 species
GACGGAGGGUGCUAGCGUUGUUCGGAAUCACUGGGCGUAAAGGGCGCGUAGGCGGCCGCCCGCGUCGGACGUGAAAGCCCGGGGCUCAACCCCGGAACGGCGUCCGAUACGGGGCGGCUCGAGGCCGGGAGAGGGGGGGUGGAAUACCCAGUGUAGAGGUGAAAUCCGUAGAUAUUGGGUGGAACACCGGUGGCGAAAGCGGCCCCCUGGCCCGGUCCUGACGCUGAGGCGCGAAAGCGUGGGGAGCAAACAGG